rnacentral:rRNA from 1 species
CGUUGUCCGGAUUAUUGGGCGUAAAGAGCUUGUAGGCGGUUUGUCGCGUCUGCUGUGAAAGGCCGGAGCUUAACUCCGUGUAUUGCAGUGGGUACGGGCAGACUAGAGUGCAGUAGGGGAGACUGGAAUUCCUGGUGUAGCGGUGGAAUGCGCAGAUAUCAGGAGGAACACCGAUGGCGAAGGCAGGUCUCUGGGCUGUAACUGACGCUGAGAAGCGAAAGCAUGGGGAGCGAACAGGAUUAGAUACCCUGGUAGUCCAUGCCGUAAACGUUGGGCACUAGGUGUGGGGAACAUUCCACGUUUUCCGCGCCGUAGCUAACGCAUUAAGUGCCCCGCCUGGGGAGUACGGCCGCAAGGCUAAAACUCAAAGAAAUUGACGGGGGCCCGCACAAGCGGCGGAGCAUGCGGAUUAAUUCGAUGCAACGCGAAGAACCUUACCAAGGCUUGACAUAUACUGGACCGCAUCAGAGAUGGUGUUUCCCUUCGGGGCUGGUAUACAGGUGGUGCAUGGUUGUCGUCAGCUCGUGUCGUGAGAAG